CCUACGGGAGGCAGCAGUCGAGAAUUAUUCACAAUGGGGGAAACCCUGAUGGUGCGACGCCGCGUGGGGGAAUGAAGGUCUUCGGAUUGUAAACCCCUGUCAUGUGGGAGCAAAUUAAAAAGAUAGUACCACAAGAGGAAGAGACGGCUAACUCUGUGCCAGCAGCCGCGGUAAUACAGAAGUCUCAAGCGUUGGUCGGAAUCACUGGGCGUAAGGGGUGCGGAGGCGGUUUCGUAAGGGGUGUGUGAAAGGCGCGGGCUCAACCCGCGGACGGCACAUGAGACUGCGAGCCUAGAGUAAUGGAGGGGGAACCGGAAUUCUCGGUGUAGCAGUGAAAUGCGUAGAUAUCGAGAGGAACACUCGUGGCGAAGGCGGGUUCCUGGACAUUAACUGACGCUGAGGCACGAAGGCCAGGGGAGCGAAAGGGAUUAGAUACCCUGGUAGUC
rnacentral:rRNA from 1 species